rnacentral:rRNA from 1 species
AAUUUUCAAGUGGAGGGCAAGUCUGGUGCCAGCAGCCGCGGUAAUACCAGCUCCACUGGCCUAUACAAUCAUUGUUGCGGUUAAGAGGCUCGUAGUUGGAUUGAACAAAUUUAAUAA